rnacentral:rRNA from 1 species
AACGAACGCUGGCGGCGUGGUUGAUACAUGCAAGUCGAACGGGAAGAGUGGCUUCGGUCACUUUGUACCGUGGCGGACGGGUGAGUAAUGCAUAGUCAAUCUGCCCGGGAGAGAGGGAUAGCCAGUCGAAAGAUUGGGUAAUACCUCAUAAGCCCACGCGGGGGCAUCCUCGUGUGGGAAAAAGGUUGGGAUCUUCGGACCUUCCGCUUCCGGAUGAGAUUAUGUCCUAUCAGCUAGUUGGCGGGGUAACGGCCCACCAAGGCAAUGACGGGUAGCCGGCCUGAGAGGGUGGACGGCCACACUGGAACUGAGACACGGUCCAGACUCCUACGGGAGGCAGCAGUGCUGAAUUAUUCGCCAAUGCGCGAAAGCGUGACGGUGCGACGCCGCGUGCGGGACGAAGGCCUUCGGGUUGUAAACCGCUGUCAGGGUAUCGAAAACUAUCGGGGUUAACAGCCCCGGUACUGAUCAUACCCAAAGGAAGCACAGGCUAACCUCGUGCCAGCAGCCGCCGUAAAAC